GUGAACAAUGAGCUGUUGACAGUAUUUAAACCAAAAUGAGAGCAAACAGCUUCAGCAGCAGAGCACUCAUCCUUUUAGCUCUCUGGAUAGGAUGCUGGUCAGUUCUGGUCAGUGCACAGUGCAGUUCAACUCAAUCUAAUGGAACAGCGACAUGCAGUCCAGACUCCAGUACCCUAGCUGCCACUCUUAACAACACAACCAGCAAUGUCGACAAAACCACUAUCAGUGCUGCCACUGGAAGCCUCAACACCACGG